rnacentral:lncRNA from 1 species
GGCUCAUUUAGAAAACCAAUUGAUUGGGCCUCAGAUAAACUAAAAAUAAAAUGCAAAUCCCUAUGCUCUUCUGAGGUUGUCUGUCUCAGGACUAAAUUUAAAGAUUUAAAGGAGUUUUUCCCUUGGGAAGGGUAGGCAUGGAGGGGCUAUGUAGCAGAAAAGAUGUCAGUUCUCCGUUUUUUUCCCAAGGACUUUCACAGGAAACUGGUGGAGACACAGCCUAGGUUUACACAGUCUUAGAUUAAUUCCACAGCCUGAAUAAUCUGGAGGAAAAGGUGAACUAGAUCAGAGAAAGUCCUAACACUCUAAGAGGAAAUGCAUGGAAUCUAUGCAAGCAAGCACAGAAAAAUAAGCUUUACAUCCAAAUAAACAAGGAAAAAUUUUGAAGGGUAAAACGACAAAUUCAAUCAACUGCACAGUGGCUUCAUGAAGGACAAGCAUGUGUCUUCCAAGGAGGUCUGAUCUUCAACUGUCACCCCUAGUCUACUGAAUCCAUAUUUUGCCAUAAUUUUGGCUACUCUCAUGUUGGCCCUGAUCAUCAUUGGAGUCCCAGGAAUUUCAAACUCUGCUUCAAGAGAAAUGUGGACACCUUGGGGAAAAUUAACAGACUUUCAUGGUCAUAGAGCAUCUACUCCUUUCAGAAUGCCAGCAAAUGCACACAAGAGCUCCCAAACACUUCUUACAAUCAGGGGCAAGAUGCCCUUCCAUGCACCAAAAACCAAGGUGGAAAAGCUCCUGCCAACCUGAGCAGCACAAGGCAGAGGGGAGGCAGCGGCUGACCUCCUGGGCAACCUGCAAUGACAACCUGACAGCAGACCGGCUGGACUCUCCAGACUGCCGCCAGAUAUGUCACGGGAUGCUUCUCAG